UGUGGAUAUGGCUCAGUGGUAGAGUGCUUGCCUAGCACGCAUGAGGCCCUGGGUUCAAUCCCCAGUAUCACAU
rnacentral:tRNA from 1 species